UACGUAGGGUGCGAGCGUUAAUCGGAAUUACUGGGCGUAAAGCGUGCGCAGGCGGUUUUGUAAGCCAGAUGUGAAAUCCCCGGGCUCAACCUGGGAAUGGCAUUUGGGACUGCAAGGCUUGAGUGCGGCAGAGGAGACUGGAAUUCCUGGUGUAGCAGUGAAAUGCGUGGAUAUCAGGAGGAAUACCGAUGGCGAAGGCAGGUCUCUGGGCUGACACUGACGCUCAUGCACGAAAGCGUGGGGAGCAAACAGG
rnacentral:rRNA from 1 species